rnacentral:rRNA from 1 species
AGAGUUUGAUCAUGGCUCAGAAUGAACGUUGGCGGCGUGCCUAACACAUGCAAGUCGAGCGAGAAAGUUCCUUCGGGAAUAAGUACAGCGGCGGACGGGUGAGUAACACGUAAGAAUCUGCCCUAUAGUGAGGAAUACCCUUGAGAAAUUGAGGUUAAUACUGCAUAAGUCCCUUCGGGGAGAAAGACGUCUUUUAUGUCGUCGCUAUAGGAUGAGCUUGCGGACUAUCAGCUUGUUGGUGAGGUAAAGGCUCACCAAGGCUAUGACGGUUAACCGGCCUGAGAGGGUGUACGGUCACAUAGGCACUGAGAUACGGGCCUGACUCCUACGGGAGGCAGCAGUGGGGAAUAUUGCGCAAUGGGCGAAAGCCUGACGCAGCGACGCCGCGUGGAGGAUGAAGGUCUUAGGAUUGUAAACUCCUGUCAGAUGGAAAGAAAGGCCUAUGUUUAAUAGACGUAGGAUAUGACGGUACCAUCAGAGGAAGCACCGGCUAACUUCGUGCCAGCAGCCGCGGUAAUACGAAGGGUGCAAACGUUAUUCGGAAUCACUGGGCGUAAAGGGUGCGUAGAUGGCGUGUUAAGUUUGUUGUUAAAGGCUUCAGCCUAACUGAAGUAUUGCGAUGAAAACUGGCAUGCUAGAGGGUGAGAGAGAGAAGUGGAAUUCCUGGAGUAGCGGUAAAAUGCGUGGAUCUCAGGAGGAACACCAAUGGCGAAGGCAGCUUCUUGGCUCAUUCCUGACAUUGAGGCACGAAAGCGUGGGGAGCAAACAGGAUUAGAUACCCUGGUAGUCCACGCCGUAAACGAUAAUCACUAGAUGUUGGUUCGGCUUAGCUGGAUCAGUGUCGUAGCUAACGCGUUAAGUGAUUCGCCUGGGGAGUAUGGUCGCAAGGCUAAAACUUAAAAGAAUUGACGGGGGUCCGCACAAGCGGUGGAACAUGUGGUUUAAUUCGACACUACGCGAGAAACCUUACCUGGGCUUGACAUGUACUCGACAGCUGUAGAAAUACGGUCUUUUGGGUUUCGGCUCAAACGGGUACACAGGUGCUGCAUGGCUGUCGUCAGCUCGUGUCGUGAGAUGUUUGGUUAAGUCCUCUAACGAGCGCAACCCCUGCUAUCAGUUGCUAGUAAUCUUCGGAUUAAGCACUUUGAUGGGACUGCCCGGGAAACCGGGAGGAAGGUGGGGAUGACGUCAAGUCAUCAUGGUCCUUAUGUCCAGGGCUACACACGUGUUACAAUGGCUAAUACAGAGGGAAGCAAAACCGUAAGGUCAAGCAAACCCCAUAAAGUUAGUCUAAGUUCGGAUUGAGGUCUGCAAUUCGACCUCAUGAAGUUGAAAUCGCUAGUAAUCGCGUAUCAUAACGACGCGGUGAAUACGUUCUCGGACCUUGUACACACCGCCCGUCACACCAUGAGAGCUGUUUGUACCCGAAGGCAUUUUAGCCAACCUGAAAAGGAGGCGGAUGUUUAAGGUAUGUAUGGUGAUUGGGGUGAAGUCGUAACAAGGUAGCCGUAGGAGAACCUGCGGCUGGAUCACCUCCUU